GAUGAACGCUGGCGGCGUGCCUAACACAUGCAAGUCGAACGAAGCACCUUACCUGAUUCUUCGGAUGAAAGUUUGGUGACUGAGUGGCGGACGGGUGAGUAACGCGUGGGUAACCUGCCCUGUACAGGGGGAUAACAGCUGGAAACGGCUGCUAAUACCGCAUAAGCGCACGAGGAGACAUCUCCUUGUGUGAAAAACUCCGGUGGUACAGGAUGGGCCCGCGUCUGAUUAGCUGGUUGGCAGGGUAACGGCCUACCAAGGCAACGAUCAGUAGCCGGUCUGAGAGGAUGAACGGCCACAUUGGAACUGAGACACGGUCCAAACUCCUACGGGAGGCAGCAGUGGGGAAUAUUGCACAAUGGGGGAAACCCUGAUGCAGCAACGCCGCGUGAGUGAAGAAGUAUUUCGGUAUGUAAAGCUCUAUCAGCAGGGAAGAUAAUGACGGUACCUGACUAAGAAGCUCCGGCUAAAUACAUG
rnacentral:rRNA from 1 species